rnacentral:rRNA from 1 species
GGGAUAACAUUCUGAAAAGAAUGCUAAUACCGCAUGACAUAUCGGAACCACAUGGUUCUGAUAUCAAAGAUUUUAUCGCUUGAAGAUGGACUCGCGUCCGAUUAGUUAGUUGGUGAGGUAACGGCUCACCAAGACCGCGAUCGGUAGCCGGACUGAGAGGUUGAACGGCCACAUUGGGACUGAGACACGGCCCAGACUCCUACGGGAGGCAGCAGUGGGGGAUAUUGCGCAAUGGGGGCAACCCUGACGCAGCAACGCCGCGUGAAGGAUGAAGGUUUUCGGAUUGUAAACUUCUUUUAUUAAGGACGAAAAAUGACGGUACUUAAUGAAUAAGCUCCGGCUAACUACGUGCCAGCAGCCGCGGUAAUACGUAGGGAGCAAGCGUUGUCCGGAUUUACUGGGUGUAAAGGGUGCGUAGGCGGCUUUGCAAGUCAGAUGUGAAAUCUAUGGGCUCAACCCAUAAACUGCAUUUGAAACUGUAGAGCUUGAGUGAAGUAGAGGCAGGCGGAAUUCCCCGUGUAGCGGUGAAAUGCGUAGAGAUGGGGAGGAACACCAGUGGCGAAGGCGGCCUGCUGGGCUUUAACUGACGCUGAGGCACGAAAGCGUGGGUAGCAAACAGGAUUAGAUACCCUGGUAGUCCACGCUGUAAACGAU